UUUCUACUUCCCACGAUUCCCACUUUCCCAUGUCUCUUCAUUUCAACUUCUCCCCAACAACAAUUCUUCCAUCUUCAUUUCACUUACCAACACACAUUGUCGUCGCCCCUAACCCCCACCCUCCCUCCGCUGCAUCGCAACUACGCCACCCUAUCCUCCCUCAUCUCUUUUUUGCCACAACCACCCUCUCCUCGCUCUAUCACACCCCCUUUUCUCUUCUCUUCUUCUUCAUCAUGCCAACCUCAUACUUCCUUAGAUUUUUAAUUUUGAUUUUUUAUUUUUUUCAUUUUUAUUGUUCAUUUUUAGGAUUAUUUUUUUGUUGUGUUUUUGUUGUUGUUGAAUUUUAUUGUUGAUUUAUGGGAUUGUUUUUGUUUGUGUUCUUCUCCUUCUCCAUUCAAUUUUCCCCCCCAAUUUCUAUCACUUCGCGUGGACCACCAUGGAGGGUUGCAUUAAUUUUUUCAAUUUUUGUGCUGAUCUUGAAGUGUUCUUCAACAAGAACAACCUUGUCAUCUUGAAGUUCAAGCCCCUUCCUCUAAGAGCAAAUCUUAGUAAGAUCAAUUCUUACAUCUAAGAUCAAGGGGUAAGAACACCUAUUGGAGGUGCUAUCGUCACGAGGCCAGAAAAACCAUGAAAAGACUCUAAGUUCACAUAAAAGUCUUGAGUAUCCUUUAUGCUUUUCAAAAUUUACAUAACUAUGGUCACUAGCACACAAGGUGAGUAACCUACUAAAGGUUUUUGCUCAAAUUUUUGUCCACAGCUAUAAUGUUGUUUUUGGUUCGACGUGGGAGAUAAAUGGGUUUUGUGUGGGUCUCACAUUUUUAUAUUUUAUUUUAAUUUAAAUAUUUUUUUUAUUUUUAUCAUCUCAAUCAAUGCAACAUAAAUUCUGUUAUUGCAGGUAUGUUAAUAUUUUCAAAAAAGGAAUUAUUAGUAAAUUUAUUUUUACUUAAUAAAAUAAUAUCAACCAAUACAGCAAAAUAAUUUUAAAUUUUUUAAGAAUAUUUAGUGCAUUCAAAUUAAAAUGUUGUUAUUAUCAUCACACACAUGGAUAAAAGGGUGUUGCUAGGUGCACCCAACAAUUAGUAUGAAUGGACAAAAAUGUCCUUGGGCUUAUUUUAAAACAAAAAAGGUGCACCCAUCCCACUUCCUCCUCUUCAUCUUUUCUUCUUCUGUUUUGCUUCUUUUUCCUUGUUUAUUAUUCUUCUUCUUCCUCCACCAUUUCCUUCGUCGCGCAGCUCGUUCUUCCAGCAUUUUUGGACCUGCCGUCGAGGCUGCACUCUACCGUCAAGGUUAGUUAACCUUUGUACCUAGUAUAAGCUUUUUUCGUUGGAUUUUGGUUGUAGGGUAGACGCCAUUGAAGAUUAGGAUUUUCAGAGGAAUUUGAAUAGGUGCAACACAUACGAAAGAACUUCUUUCGUAAGAAGGACCUUCUUCUUACGGAAGAACUUCUUCUGUAGACUCUUACGGAAGAACUUUUUCCAUAAGAAGGUUUCCAAUUUUUUUUUAUUUUUUAAUUAAUUUUCUGUAUAAAUUAAGUUUUAUUUCUUUGUUUUGAUUUAUAAUAGGUAUAUUUAGUUUUUUAAUAAUAAAAAAUUAUGCUUGCAUGGUUGUAUGUAACAAAAUUUAUAUUAAAUAUUAUUUAUUUUGUUUUUUUAUGUUUAAUAUAUUUGGGCCAAAAUAUUUGUUAGGGUUAGGGCCCAGGGCUGAGUGUGUAGGGUUUAGUUUCUGUACUGCAUAGGUGACAAUACGCAGGGUAGUGUAAUUAGGGUUUCUAAUGUAGGGCUAAAGAUUUAUGUAGGUUUUUAAUUUUAUGAAUAGUUAAUUAGACCAGAAAAACUACAUGUUCUUCACGAAGUGCAAAUCAUGGUUAGAACAAGAGGAUUAGGUCGUGCCUUAGUUACUAGGGUCACAGGCAGAGGUAGACACGAUGAGCAUCAUGCAGAUGAUGUUCGCCGGCGACGUAGGCCGACCGCAUCUACCCGUAGGCAACAGAUGUACCUGCAGCUUCUGUAGAGGGCUUAGCUGAUGCUAUUGCUGAUGAUGUUGCUGAGGGAUUUCCUGGUGGGCCACGUGACCCAUCAGUGCUGACCUCGUUUGGUGACCACGUUGCACAUCGCAUAUGGAUGGGAGAGGAACAUCCUGACUUGAGGUUGGCCUCCCACGGCAGGAAGGUUGAGAAAAUUGGGAGGCCAUCACCUGAGAUUGAAGGGCUAGUCGCUGCCAUAGGAUUAAGCCCUUUGAUCGGUUGCUCAAUAGUCACCGGCAAUCCGGGACUUAUAUCUGCGCUUGUGAAGAGGUGGCACGGGGAGACCAGCAGCUUCCACCUUCCAAUGGGAGAGUUGACGAUCACACUCGAUGAUGUGUCAUUACUCCUCCAUCUGCCGAUCACAGACACCUUGCACAACUUCGAGCCUCUAGUUGUGGAGGAGGCGGUCGUCUUGCUGAUGGAGUUGCUCGAGGUCUUGAGUCAGGAGGUUAGAGCUGAGACUGCAUAGGCGCGUGGGGCAUAUGUACGCCUGUCGUGGGUACGGGAUAUUUAUCUGAGUAGAUGCGAUGCCCGACGAUGGAUUGUAGCAAUGCGUGCUUAUCUCCUCCACUUGGUUGGUUGCACUCUUAUCGCUAACAAGAGUGCAACACAUGUUGAUGUAGUGCAUCUAGAGGCUUUUCGAGACCUGGGUGAGAGUGGGAGGUUUUCUUGGGGAGUUGCGGCGCUGGUGCAUAUGCAUGACCAGUUAAAUGAAGUUUCUCAGACCACUACACGACAGAUUGUUGGGUACAUUACUUUAUUACAGUGUUGGAUAUAUGAGCAUUUUUCUAGUGUUCAUGACAGCGUCAUUGACGAUGCAUACGAUGAGACAUCCCCACGUGUCUGUCGGUGGCUUAUGACGAAGGCUUAUAUCAAGGGAUUAUGAGCACCGGUGUACCGGACUCGUUUGGAUGCUUUGGCGAUCAUUGACGUGUGCUGGAUGCCCUAUGGUGACCACCGAGGAGUUAGGGGGUUUGAGCUCAUCUCGUGCUUCCGAGGCUAGCUUAGAUGGGAUGCUAUUGUGAUCACACAUCGACCAGAUAAGGUCGCACGACAGUUCGGGUACGUUCAGACCAUUCCUCCACCACCUGUGAGUGCCUCCUAGUCAUAUGAUGAUAUCGACGACAGAUGGAUGCAUUACAAGGACCAUCUAGCAGAUCCGGUUGAGAUUAUUGUUGUGCUUGGGCAGGUAUCAGCAGAUUACAUGCAGUGGAUUGCAACUUACAAAGUGUGUUGGUCUCUUACCGAUCCUGCAAGUUGCAAGUUGUUAUGGGGCUGAUGUGUUAGCUGCUAUUGACCAAGCCAUAGAUGAUGGUGUUGAUGUCAUCAAUGUUUCUUUUGGUGUCAGCUACGUUGUCACUGCUGAAGGAAUAUUCACAGAUGAAAUUUCCAUUGGGGCAUUCCAUGCAAUUUCUAAAAACAUACUUUUAGUUGCCUCUGCAGGAAAUGAUGGACCAACGCCUGGAACUGUUGCCAAUGUGGCUCCUUGCGUCUUCACAAUUGCUGCUAGCACAUUAGACAGAGAUUUCAGCAGCAAUUUAACCAUUAAUAAUCAGCUAAUUGAGGAUGCGUUUGAUAAAACACUAGCAGAUGCUUUUGCUUACGGUUCAGGACAUGUUCGACCCGAUCUAGCGAUAGAUCCUGGGCUUGUUUACGAUCUAAGCCUCACUGAUUACUUGAACUUCUUAUGUGCUUCCGGAUACGACCAACAACUCAUUUCCGCCCUCAAUUUCAACAGGACAUUCAUUUGUUCAGGUUCUCACAGCGUAAAUGACUUGAACUACCCUUCAAUCACAUUGCCAAAUCUUCGCUUAAAGCCCGUGGCCAUUGCUCGCACAGUCACAAAUGUUGGCCCACCAAGCACAUACACUGUAAGUACCCGCUCGCCAAAUGGAUAUAGCAUUGCCGUUGUGCCACCUUCCUUGACUUUCACGAAAAUUGGUGAAAGGAAGACAUUCAAAGUCAUUGUGCAAGCAAGCAGUGCAGCUACGCGGAGAAAGUAUGAAUUCGGGGAUUUUCGUUGGACAGACGGAAAGCAUAUAGUAAGGAGUUCUAUUACAGUUAAGCGCAGAUGAAAAUUCCCAAAUUGGUCGAGUUGGUUGUGUUGUAUUGUGUGGAUGCGUGUGUGCAUGUUUAGAUAUAAGGUAGUUGGACUCUAUAUAGCUAGGAUUUUCAUGUUAUGACAUAACUGUUUUGUUCCUUGGUUCUUAUGUGGUUGUUUGGUUAUCAGUAUCACUGUAUAAUAAUUUAUUGCAUGUUUUAUGUGUACUAGUGUAAUAAGAGAAAUGGAGAUGUGGGAGGGCAAAGUCCGCAAUCUUCAAAUGUGGGUGCAACGGAUAUGCUCCUAUAUAUAGCAUUAAAAUAUUGCCACAA